UCAAUUCAGUAAAAAUCAGUAUUAAAUUAUCACGUUAUCAUGAUUUGUUCAAAUGUUACCUCGUAAAAUGUAGUUUUUGGUGAGAAACUUCAAUAAAUCCAUUUGUUUGUAGGAGAUGUUUUCACAUCAAUAUAAAAUAGUUAUUAGAGAGAGA